UCCGAUAUGGUGUAACGGCUAACAUUGCCGCCUUUCAUUAUUCAGUGAGCGCGGCAGCUCGGGGUUCGAUUCCCGGUAUCGGAG
rnacentral:tRNA from 1 species